UACGAAGGGGGCUAGCGUUGCUCGGAAUUACUGGGCGUAAAGGGCGCGUAGGCGGUUUGGACAGUCAGGCGUGAAAUUCCCGGGCUUAACCUGGGGGCUGCGCUUGAUACAUCCAGGCUUGAGUGGGGAAGAGGGUCGUGGAAUUCCCAGUGUAGAGGUGGAAUUCGUAGAUAUUGGGAAGAACACCGGUGGCGAAGGCGGCAUCCUGGACCGACACUGACGCUGAGGAGCGAAAGCCAGGGGAGCAAACGGG
rnacentral:rRNA from 1 species